GUCGCUGCGCCGGCGGCUCUCGCGCCUCUCCCGCUGUGCCCUUCUGCUGCGCCCCGGAUCGCCGGUAGAUGCGGGAGCCGGGUGAGGCUGGCCCCGCGGGUGGCCGCUCCGGGAGCAUGUCCGACGUGGCGGCAGAAAUAAGGAGCUUUGUGCAGAUAAAUGGUCACACCUGACUGAAAUGCUCAUGAAGACACCUCUUAAGAAUGAAGUGCCUCUGCUGGAAAAUGCCUAGAUGUACUUCAUAGAACUUGCAAGACACUUUGACAUGAAUCUCCUUGAAGAGUGACAAAUUCCCAGGGGGGAAAAAUGAACAAAACAUAAGAUUCAAACUUGCAGCUCCUGCUUUGAUGAAAGUGUAGUAAUGAUUACUGACUUCAUCCAUGGUCAUUUAAUUGUUUUCUGUAAUGUAUCA